rnacentral:lncRNA from 1 species
AUGGAAUGUCCAUGUGAUCGAAAUGGUGAGAUCAUGAUAUGUUAGCAUGUUUUUCCAUUCAUGUACAAGUUCAAACAUUUGUCCAAGUGCCUUAGUGAUGUAUUGUGGACAUUUGAUCAUCGUUAUGUUUUCAAGUAUUGUCGUAUCUUAUUAUUAUUGAUGCUAUCGAGUCCUGAGGGUAUUUAAUACCCAGAAGUCUAGCUAUUUACCUAGAUCCACAGUUAGUUACAGAAUAGUA